AUACUAUGAUGAAGGCAUUUUAUUAAUAACUCUUUAAAUCGUUCUCAUACCUCAUACAAGGACUCGUCAUCAGAUUGUUGAAAUGUGGUAAUUUCAUUUUUGAGCCU
rfam:Gossypium hirsutum cultivar TM-1 unplaced genomic scaffold scaffold526.1, whole genome shotgun sequence